GCCCGGGUGGCGGAAUUUGGCAGACGCGUGGCCUUGAGGGGGCUAUGGGAUUUUCCCGUGUGGGUUCGAGUCCCACCCCGGGCA
rnacentral:tRNA from 1 species